UAACCCCUGCGAUGUGCGUGAUUAACAUUUGUUUCUGAGCCAACACUUUGAACUCGGGGUCUAUUCUUGUUUGUGGUGUGCAUGUCCGCCUUUUUCCCGUCAGUCGGGAGGCGGAAAGCCUGAAGCAAUACAAUACUGGACGCCCACUUUGUAAAAUGGUUCAAAAAUACUAUUAACACGGCAUAGGCGGGGGUUUU
rnacentral:other from 1 species